rnacentral:rRNA from 1 species
AGGACGAACGCUGGCGGCGUGCUUAACACAUGCAAGUGGAGCGACGAACCAGGGCUUGCCCUGGGGCAGAGCCGCGAACGGGUGAGUAACACGUGGGUUACCUGCCUCGAUGACCGGGACAACCCGAGGAAACUCGGGCUAAUACCGGAUGUGCCCGCAAGGGGAAAGGAAGCUUCGGCCUCCGCAUCGAGAUGGGCCCGCGGCCCAUUAGCUUGUUGGUGAGGUAACGGCUCACCAAGGCUUCGAUGGGUAGCUGGUCUGAGAGGACGAUCAGCCACACUGGGACUGAGACACGGCCCAGACUCCUACGGGAGGCAGCAGUGGGGAAUCUUGCGCAAUGCGCGAAAGCGUGACGCAGCAACGCCGCGUGGGGGAAGAAGGCUUUCGGGUUGUAAACCCCUUUCAGUUGGGACGAAGCUUCGCCGGUGAAUAGCCGGCCGGAGUGACGGUACCUUCACAAGAGCACCGGCUAACUACGCGCCAGCAGCCGCGGU